UAAUACGGAGGGUGCAAGCGUUAAUCGGAAUUACUGGGCGUAAAGCGUGCGUAGGCGGUUUAUUAAGUCAGAUGUGAAAGCCCCGGGCUUAACCUGGGAACUGCAUUUGAAACUGGUCAACUAGAGUAUGGUAGAGGAAAGUGGAAUUUCUGGUGUAGCGGUGAAAUGCGUAGAUAUCAGAAGGAACAUCAAUGGCGAAGGCAGCUUUCUGGACCAAUACUGACGCUGAGGUACGAAAGCGUGGGUAGCAAACAGGAUUAGAUACCCUGGUAGUCCACGCCGUAAACGAUGAUAACUAGCCGUUGGGGGGAUUUACCCCUUAGUGGCGAAGCUAACGCGUUAAGUUAUCCGCCUGGGGAGUACGGCCGCAAGGCUA
rnacentral:rRNA from 1 species